rnacentral:rRNA from 1 species
CCUACGUGUCGCAGCAGUGGGGAAUAUUGGACAAUGGGCGAAAGCCUGAUCCAGCCAUGCCGCGUGUGUGAAGAAGGCCUUCGGGUUGUAAAGCACUUUCAGUGGGGAAGAAAGCCUUGGGGCUAAUACCCUCGAGGAAGGACAUCACCCACAGAAGAAGCACCGGCUAACUCCGUGCCAGCAGCCGCGGUAAUACGGAGGGUGCAAGCGUUAAUCGGAAUUACUGGGCGUAAAGCGCGCGUAGGCGGUCUGAUAAGCCGGUUGUGAAAGCCCCGGGCUCAACCUGGGAACGGCAUCCGGAACUGUCAGGCUAGAGUGCAGGAGAGGAAGGGAGAAUUCCCGGUGUAGCGGUGAAAUGCGUAGAGAUCGGGAGGAAUACCAGUGGCGAAGGCGGCCUUCUGGACUGACACUGACGCUGAGGUGCGAAAGCGUGGGUAGCAAACAGGAUUAGAUACCCGUGUAGUC